CCUACGGGAGGCAGCAGUGAGGAAUAUUGGACAAUGGGCGCAAGCCUGAUCCAGCCAUGCCGCGUGCAGGAAGACGGUCCUAUGGAUUGUAAACUGCUUUUAUACAGGAAGAAACACCUCUACGUGUAGAGACUUGACGGUACUGUAUGAAUAAGCAUCGGCUAACUCCGUGCCAGCAGCCGCGGUAAUACGGAGGAUGCAAGCGUUAUCCGGAAUCAUUGGGUUUAAAGGGUCCGUAGGCGGUUUAAUAAGUCAGUGGUGAAAGCCCAUCGCUCAACGAUGGAACGGCCAUUGAUACUGUUAAACUUGAAUUAUUAGGAAGUAACUAGAAUAUGUAGUGUAGCGGUGAAAUGCUUAGAGAUUACAUGGAAUACCAAUUGCGAAGGCAGGUUACUACUAAUAUAUUGACGCUGAUGGACGAAAGCGUGGGGAGCGAACAGGAUUAGAUACCCUGGUAGUCCACGCCGUAAACGAUGGAUACUAGCUGUUCGGAGCAAUCUGAGUGGCUAAGCGAAAGUGAUAAGUAUCCCACCUGGGGAGUACGUUCGCAAGAUGAAACUCAAAGGAUUGACGGCUGAGAGNGCGAGGACGACGACGAGGGAGAGG
rnacentral:rRNA from 1 species